rnacentral:rRNA from 1 species
AACGAACGCUGGCGGCAUGCCUAACACAUGCAAGUCGAACGAGACCUUCGGGUCUAGUGGCGCACGGGUGCGUAACGCGUGGGAACCUGCACUUAGGUUCGGAAUAACUCCCCGAAAGGGGUGCUAAUACCGGAUAAUGUCUACGGACCAAAGAUUUAUCGCCUUUGGAUGGGCCCGCGUUGGAUUAGCUAGUUGGUAGGGUAAAAGCCUACCAAGGCGACGAUCCAUAGCUGGUCUGAGAGGAUGAUCAGCCACACUGGGACUGAGACACGGCCCAGACUCCUACGGGAGGCAGCAGUGGGGAAUAUUGGACAAUGGGCGAAAGCCUGAUCCAGCAAUGCCGCGUGAGUGAUGAAGGCCUUAGGGUUGUAAAGCUCUUUUACCCGGGAUGAUAAUGACAGUACCGGGAGAAUAAGCUCCGGCUAACUCCGUG